UAAAGUUGCUGCAGUUAAAAAGCUCGUAGUUGGAUCUGGGUCGUGCGGUCGCGUGACGGCGCUCGUUCAUUUGGCUUGAUCAUUGGUCGGGUCUUUUGUUCGUGCCGGCAUUGUGAUCGUGCAGCCUUUCAGCCGUGUCUGUGUAAACAGGUGUUGGCUGGGCCGGUGAGUUCGCUUGCUAGCCUGUCGACAUGCUUCCGGGUGCCUUUCACCGGGUGUCCGGGGCGGACGGCACUUUUACUUUGAACAAAUUUGAGUGCUCAAAGCAGGCCUGUGUGCCUGAAAAUUCUUGCAUGGAAUAAUGGAAUAGGACUUCGGUUCUAUUUUGUUGGUUUUCGGAUCCGAAGUAAUGGUUAAGAGGGACAGACGGGGGCAUUUGUAUGGCUGCGUGAGAGGUGAAAUUCUGUGAUCGCAGCCAGACAAACUACAGCGAAAGCAUUUGCCAAGAAUGUUUUCAUUGAUCAGGAGCGAAAGUCAGAGGUUCGAAGACGAUCAGAUACCGUCCUAGUUCUGACCAUAAACGAUGCCAACUGACGAUCCGCGGUGGUUCUUUAUUUGGCCUCGCGGGCAGUCCCCGGGAAACCCUUAAGUCUUUGGGCUCCGGGGGAAGUAUGGUUGCAAAGCUGAAACUUAAAGGAAUUGACGGAAGGGCACCACCAGGAGUGGAGCCUGCGGCUUAAUUCGACUCAACACGGGAAAACUCACCCGGCCC
rnacentral:rRNA from 1 species